rnacentral:lncRNA from 1 species
AUGUUCCGGGAGGUCCAGCAGCUCCCAGCACGAGGCUCCCUGGUUUUCCAACCCCUCUCCAUCUCCACGCAUCGUUACGUCGUGAUGGGAAACGACUUCGCCCCGAGUCGUGUUUAUCGCCUCGGCCCUACGGGACGUUUAGAACCCGCCCAGGAAUUGUUGACCCCAUCCCCGAGGGCUUUCGCCCCCAUUUCGGUGGGCGACGAUCAUUUUUUAGUGGCUUCCAGUUUUAAAGGAGCCACUCAGAUCUACCGGCACGUGACGGUGGACGUGGGGACGUGAGGGGUGGGGGNNNNNNNNNNNNNNNNNNNNNNNNNNNNNNNNNNNNUAAAGGAUGUGGGGUGAUGGAAUGUGGCGGUGGUGUGGUGUCAGUGUGGGGACGGGGGGACAGCGGGGGGGACGUGGGGGAUGUGGGGACAUCGUGGAGGACGUGGGGACAGCGGGUGGUCAUGGAGGACAUGGGGACAUGGGGACAUCAGGUGGUCAUGAAGGACGUGGGGACAUGAUGGAGGACAUGGGGACAUUGGGUGGUCAUGGAGGACGUGGGGACAUCAUGGAGGACAUGGGGACAUCAUGGAGGACGGGGGGACAUCAUGGAGGACAUGGGGACAUCAGGUGGACAUGAAGGAUGUGGGGACAUCAUGGAGGACAUGGGGACAUUGUGGAGGACGUGGGGACAGCGGGUGGUCAUGGAGGACAUGGGGACAUCAUGGGGGACGUGGGGACAUCGUGGAGGACGUGGGGACAUGAGGACAUCAUGGAGGACGUGGGGACAGCGGGUGGUCAUGGGGGACGUGGGGACAUGGGGACAUCAGGUGGUCAUGGAGGAUGU